GUGAACGCUGGCGGUAGGCCUAACACCUGCAGGUCGAACGGCAGCACAGUAAGAGCUUGCUCUUACGGGUGGCGAGUGGCGGACGGGUGAGGAAUACAUCGGAAUCUACUUUUUCGUGGGGGAUAACGUAGGGAAACUUACGCUAAUACCGCAUACGACCUACGGGUGAAAGCAGGGGAUCUUCGGACCUUGCGCGAUUGAAUGAGCCGAUGUCGGAUUAGCUAGUUGGCGGGGUAAAGGCCCACCAAGGCGACGAUCCGUAGCUGGUCUGAGAGGAUGAUCAGCCACACUGGAACUGAGACACGGUCCAGACUCCUACGGGAGGCAGCAGUGGGGAAUAUUGGACAAUGGGCGCAAGCCUGAUCCAGCCAUACCGCGUGGGUGAAGAAGGCCUUCGGGUUGUAAAGCCCUUUUGUUGGGAAAGAAAAGCAGCAGGUUAAUACCCCGCUGUUCUGACGGUACCCAAAGAAUAAGCACCGGCUAACUUCGUG
rnacentral:rRNA from 1 species